UACGGAGGAUGCAAGCGUUAUCCGGAUUCAUUGGGUUUAAAGGGUGCGUAGGCGGGAUGAUAAGUCAGUGGUGAAAUCCAACAGCUUAACUGUUGAACUGCCAUUGAUACUGUCAACCUUGAGUACAUUUGAAGUGGGCGGAAUGUGUGGUGUAGCGGUGAAAUGCUUAGAUAUCACACAGAACACCGAUAGCGAAGGCAGCUCACUAAACUGUAACUGACGCUGAGGCACGAAAGCGUGGGGAGCAAACAGG
rnacentral:rRNA from 1 species